GACGAACGCUGGCGGCGUGCUUAACACAUGCAAGUCGAACGGUAAGGCCCUUCGGGGUACACGAGUGGCGAACGGGUGAGUAACACGUGGGUGAUCUGCCCUGCACUUCGGGAUAAGCCUGGGAAACUGGGUCUAAUACCGGAUAGGACCACUGCCUGCAUGGGUGGUGGUGGAAAGCUUUUGCGGUGUGGGAUGGGACCGCGGCCUAUCAGCUUGUUGGUGGGGUGAUGGCCUACCAAGGCGACGACGGGUAGCCGGCCUGAGAGGGUGACCGGCCACACUGGGACUGAGUUACGGCCCAGACUCCUACGGGAGGCAGCAGUGGGGAAUAUUGCACAAUGGGCGCAAGCCUGAUGCAGCGACGCCGCGUGAGGGAUGACGGCCUUCGGGUUGUAAACCUCUUUCAGCACCGACGAAGCGCAAGUGACGGUAGGUGCAGAAGAAGGACCGGCCAACUACGUGCCAGCAGCCGCCGUAA
rnacentral:rRNA from 1 species